rnacentral:lncRNA from 1 species
CCUACAGCUACUGAGGUUUGACAUAACAUGCAUGGGCCAGAACUACCCACUGUAUUUUGUUCAUAGUCCAAACAAAACUGCUUGUUUGGUUCCUAGCUUUGGUUAAUUGUUCUGUCUCCUUUUCAGACUCCUUUUACCUUGUGAGAAGCAGUGCUGCCUUUACUACUGUUACAGGAAUGUCCCAAGCUCAAAGAUUUGUGCCACUAUCUGAAGAAUACCAGAUCAUGCUCAGCUCUCAGGAUCUUACUCUUCAGGUGUGCUGGCAGAAGAGUUCCUCAGGACAGCAGCCCCAUGUGACAUUGGGAGCAGUAUCACAGACUUCAUGCCCUCAUGUGUUCUGAGGAGGACAAAAAUCCCAUUUCCUGGUGGAUUUUGAAAUUGUGCCAGAUACAGCAAAUGCAGGAGAUGUCAGAAUUCUCUGCAGUGGAAAUUAAAAAAGUAAUACCCUUUCAGGUAGUUCAGAGCAGCUCCCUUUUAA